UCUGAAUUGGCCCAGUCAGAGUCCUGACCUCAACCCGAUUGAGAAAGCGAUUCACACCAGACAUCCCAAGAAUAUUGCUGAACUGAAACAGUUCUGUAAAGAGGAAUGGUCAAGAAUUACUCCUGACCAUUGUGCACGUCUGAUCUGCAACUACAGGAAACGUUUGGUUGAAGUUAUUGCUGCCAAAGUAGGUUCAACCAGUUAUUAAAUCCAAGGGUUCACAUACUUUUUC